rnacentral:rRNA from 1 species
UACGAAGGGGGCUAGCGUUGCUCGGAAUCACUGGGCGUAAAGCGCACGUAGGCGGAUUGUUAAGUCAGGGGUGAAAUCCUGGAGCUCAACUCCAGAACUGCCUUUGAUACUGGCGAUCUUGAGUCCGGGAGAGGUGAGUGGAACUGCGAGUGUAGAGGUGAAAUUCGUAGAUAUUCGCAAGAACACCAGUGGCGAAGGCGGCUCACUGGCCCGGUACUGACGCUGAGGUGCGAAAGCGUGGGGAGCAACAGGGAUUAAG